UGGUGGACGCUGGGAACAUGAUGGAUAUGGACGUAUAACAUAGCACAACUCAGACUGGGAGAGCCAGCAGAAGGGAACCUCACCGUAUUUGACCGGAAAUAAAUUAUUGUACGUAUGAGCUGUAAUUUUGUUGCUUUGCAAAAGGACAACAUGAAUAUUCAACACAUUGAAUUUGGGAGAUGGAUCGUGGAAUAUAAUUUCUUCAUUUUUAAAGUCAUAAAUCUUCUGGGCUAGAAAGUGACUUUAAUCUUCACGCAAGAGUAUUAUCUCUUUUUACUACUGGUAGCACGGACGUUGAACGAUUUAGGCAUGCCUGGGGAGUGGAGAAUAAAUCUUUUCAGCCGACCUAGAAGUCGAAAGCUUAACGGAGCGUGAAUUUUGUUCAUUUUUGUCAUACAAAAAUAGGAAUGUGGAAAGAUUCAAAACAAAA